GGGCGAUGAUGUGCAAAGUAUAGUCUGACCUGGUAUUGCAAAGACUUCGGUUUGGACUCUGACCAGGACGUGAUCACGCAAUCUUCUCUCUGAGCCA